UCCGAGUUGACCCCGGCAGCGAGGGUUGCGCUCGUUGCGGGACUUAACCCAACACCUCACGGCACGAGCUGACGACAGCCGUGCAGCAUCUGUGCACGCUCCCUUGCGGGUCCUUCCGGUUUCCCGGUCGUACCACGUGCAUGUCAAGCCCAGGUAAGGUUCUUCGCGUUGCGUCGAAUUAAACCACACGCUCCGCUGCUUGUGCGGGCCCCCGUCAAUUCCUUUGAGUUUUAGCCUUGCGGCCGUAGUCCCCAGGCGGAGUACUUAUCGCGUUAGCUGCGGCACCGAGGGGGUCGAUACCUCCAACAGCUAGUAUCCAUCGUUUACGGCGUGGACUAC
rnacentral:misc_RNA from 1 species